UACGUAGGGUGCAAGCGUUGUCCGGAAUUAUUGGGCGUAAAGAGCUCGUAGGCGGUUCGUCGCGUCGGCUGUGAAAACCCGGAGCUCAACUCCGGGCCUGCAGUCGAUACGGGCGGACUUGAGUGUUGCAGGGGAGACUGGAAUUCCUGGUGUAGCGGUGAAAUGCGCAGAUAUCAGGAGGAACACCGGUGGCGAAGGUGGGUCUCUGGGCAACUACUGACGCUGAGGAGCGAAAGCGUGGGGAGCGAACAGG
rnacentral:rRNA from 1 species